rnacentral:rRNA from 1 species
UACGUAGGGUGCGAGCGUUGUCCGGAAUUAUUGGGCGUAAAGGGCUCGUAGGCGGUCUGUCGCGUCGGGAGUGAAAACUCAGGGCUUAACCCUGAGCCUGCUUCCGAUACGGGCAGACUAGAGGUAUGCAGGGGAGAACGGAAUUCCUGGUGUAGCGGUGAAAUGCGCAGAUAUCAGGAGGAACACCGGUGGCGAAGGCGGUUCUCUGGGCAUGACCUGACGCUGAGGAGCGAAAGUGUGGGGAGCGAACAGG